CCGGCUCUGCCCCUUCCAGCGCGUCACCCAGAGACCCAAAAACGGCGGCGCCGAGACCAACCUGGGGUCAGGGCACCCCAAAACACCCCAAAAACACCCCAAACACCCCAAAAAUACCCCAAAAACCCCCAAAACACCCCAAAAAUAUCCACAAAAUACCCCAAAAACCCCCAAAACCACCUCAAAAACCCCCAAAAUCUCACCAAAAACACCCAAAAAAACCCAAAUCCCCCCCAAAACCACCCUGGGGACGCCUGGGGACAGCCCCUGGUGUCACCUGACCCCCCAUGACGUCACCCGACCCCCAUGAUGUCACCUGACCCCGUGACGUCACCUGACCCCGUGACGUCACCUGUGCUCACCUGGCCCCUCCCCCACAGGCUCUGGGGCUCCUGGGCGGGGCCCGAAGGCGACAAAUUCGGGGCCCAAAAAUACGAGGGGGGCACGGGGUGCUGGCAGGGACCCAACAGAGCCACCACGGUGAGUGACACCUGUGUCACCUGUGUCACCUGUCCUGUGUCACCUGUGUGUGUGUGUGUCACCUGUGUCACCUGUGUCACCUGUGUGUGUCACCUGUGUGUGUGUGUCACCUGUGUGUGUGUGUCACCUGUCCUGUGUCACACCUGUGUGAGCAGCACGGGGUGCUGGCAGGGACCCAACAGAGCCACCACGGUGCGGCUCAGGUGUGGCCGGGACACGGCGGUGACGGCGGCGUCGGAGCCGAGCCGCUGCGAGUACCUGCUGGAGCUGGAGACACCUGCGGCCUGCAGGGAGCCCGAAACACCUGGGCACGAGGAGCACGACGAGCUCUGAGCCCCAAAAUGUCCCAAAAUAUCCCAAAUUAUCCCCAAAAAAUAUCCCCAAAUUAUCCCCAAAAACAUCCCCAAAAUAUUCCCAAAAUAUCCCCAAAAAAUAUCCCAAAAUAUCCCCAAAUCCCUGCAGGGAGCCCGACACACCUGGGCACGAGGAGCACGACGAGCUCUGAGCCCCAAAAUGUCCCCAAAUGUCCCCAAAAUCAUCCCCAAAAACAUCCCCAAAAUAUCCCAAAUUAUCCCCAAAAUAUCCCAAAAUAUCCCCAAAUCCCUGCAGGGAGCCCGAAACACCUGGGCACGAGGAGCACGAUGAGCUCUGAGCCCCAAAAUGUCCCCAAAAUAUCCCCAAAAUGUCCCAAAUUAUCCCCAAAAUAUCCCCAAAAUAUCCCCAAAUCCCUGCAGGGAGCCCGACACACCUGGGCACGAGGAGCACGACGAGCUCUGAGCCCCAAAAUGUCCCAAAAUAUCCCCAAAAACAUCCCCAAAAUAUCCCAAAUUAUCCCCAAAAUAUUCCCAAAAUAUCCAAAGAAAAUCCCCAAAAUAACCCCAAAAAUUUACCCAAAAGAUCCCAAAAAAAUCCCCCAAAAAACCCUGGAAAAAAUCCCAAUAAAAGCCAGAAAAAAUCCCAAAAUAACCUGGAAAAAAAUCCCAAAAUAACCGAGAAAAAAAUCCCAAAAUAACCCAUA
rnacentral:lncRNA from 1 species